rnacentral:rRNA from 1 species
UACCCUUGACAUGUCGCAAACUUUCCAGAGAUGGAUUGGUGCCCGAAAGGGAAUGCGAACACAGGUGCUGCAUGGCUGUCGUCAGCUCGUGUCGUGAGAUGUUGGGUUAAGUCCCGCAACGAGCGCAACCCUUAUCAUUAGUUGCUACGCAAGGGCACUCUAAUGAGACUGCCGGUGACAAACCGGAGGAAGGUGGGGAUGACGUCAAGUCCUCAUGGCCCUUAUGGGUAGGGCUUCACACGUCAUACAAUGGUCGGUACAGAGGGUUGCCAAGCCGCGAGGUGGAGCCAAUCCCACAAAGCCGAUCGUAGUCCGGAUUGUUCUCUGCAACUCGAGAGCAUGAAGUCGGAAUCGCUAGUAAUCGCAGGUCAGCAUACUGCGGUGAAUACGUUCCCGGGUC